AAAAUUCUAAGUGUUGAGCUUCUUGUGACUUGUUUCGAAGGCCUUAACGAUGAGAAAACUUUACAGGGUCUUACAAUAGCCUAUAUUAAAGUUGUUGAUGUUGAAAAGCUCAUAGUUAGACUUUGGGAUGGGCCAACUUAUUUGCCUACGGUGUGCACCGAUCAUCUUGUCCCUUCUAUUUGUGAUACGCUCCAACCUUAAUUGGCCAGGUUGUGCCUCCAGUUCUAUUACUUUGAAAAAAUUAGAGUGCUCAAAGCAAGCCUGCGCUCUGUAGACAUUAGCAUGGAAUAACAUAAUAGGAUUUCGGUCCUAUUAUGUUGUCCUUCGGGAUAAGAGUAAGAUUAACAUAAACAAUUCGGGGAAUUGAUAUUUCAUAGAGGUGAAAUUAUUGGAUUUAUGAAAUAUGAAAAAAUUCAAAAGCCUUUGCCAAGUAUGUAUUCAUUAAUCAAGAAUGAAAGUUUGGAACUCAAUGAUGAUCAAAUACCACCCUAGUCUCAACCAUAAACAAUGACGACCAGGGAUUGGCGAAUGUUGCUUUUAGGACUCUGUCGGUACCUUAUGAGAAAUCAAAGUUUUUGGGUUCCGAGGGAAGUAUGAUCGCAAUGAUGAAACUUAAAAGAAUUGACGGAAGGGCACCACCAGGAGUGGAUCCUGCAGAUUAAUUUGACUCAGCAUUGGGAAACUUACAAGGUCCAUACAUAGUAAGGAUUAACAGAAUAAGAGCUCUUUCUUAAUUCUAUGGGUAGUGGUGCAUGGCUGCUCUUCGUUGGUGAAGAAAUUUGUUCGACCUUUUAAUUAUCUAUGAGGAGUUAUCCCUUUACGAUGAGCUUCUUAUAUGGACUAUGACCUUUUAGGCACGAAAGUUUGAGGCAAUAAUAGGUGUGUGAUGCCCUUAGAUGUUUCGUACUACACGCGCUACGUUGAUGUAUUCAACGAGUUUAUAGCCUUGGACGACGGGCCCAGGUAAUCUUUGAAAUUUCAUUAUGAUGGGGAUAGAUCAUUGAAAUUAUUGGUCUUGAAUGAGGAAUUCCUAGUAAGCACAAAUCAGCAGCUUACAUUGACUACAUCCCUACCCUUUGUACACACUGUUGGUAAAAUAUUUGAAUCAUGGUAACAUGGACAAUUCACUACCCGCAACGUUGCGAGAAGUUGAUUGAACCUUAUCAUUUAGAGAAAGAAGAAGUAGUAAAAAGGUUUAUGUAGGUGAACUUUCAGAAGGAUCAUUG
rnacentral:rRNA from 1 species